UCGUUACUUCCUUUUAUUGUUUUCCCGCCAAAACCCAAAACUAUCAUUCAUUACUUCUUUUUUUUCAUUGUCUUAGUGUUCUGCGUUUUUAAUAAUAAAUAAAACUUUAAAUAACUGUAUUAUUUGUUUGAGAUGAAUCACCAGCUUCAGAUUAAGGCAAUGAAAUGAGCUCUAUUAUGAAUUAGAGAUAGAGAAAAAAAGGAGUCGUAUACAGUUUUCAUCGAUUUCGAACACGUCAUCGUAUUCAAUGAUCUUAUUUGAGGUUUGAAUAAUUGAACCUUAUUUACAUAAUGUUUGUAAAAAGUUUGUUGUGGAGGUGAAGCUGGCAUUCGUGAUCGACUAACCCUAACAAGCACAUCAGCAUUGGGUCUUUACAACAUUAAAAUCGUGAAGCGGUAUAUUGGGUUCCCAUUUCAAUUUUUGUUCUCACUUAAUUAAUAUAAGAUUAAUUAAAUUAUAAUUGAAAAUGGUGGCUUUGGAGUUUCAAUUAGCUGUUAAUUUUUUUUUUUUUUGGUUUUAAUCCUCACCAUUCCCAAGGGGAAUGAGACUCUAGUAAUCUAGAAUUAGGAUCGCAGGUAAGUAAAAUUUGGCAAAAAAAUUGUUCCAGUCAAGAUUUAAACUCGGGUUCUCCCUCGUACAAUUCUUCUUUAACUGAAGCUUAUUAACUAAUUGAACUCAAUUGCUUGAUAUCAAUUAGCUAUUAAUUAGUUUCACUAUGUGUGCUUUUAUGAGUGAAUCUUCAAUUUAAAUGUGAAUAUCUGUGUGUGUGUGUUGUUCACCAUGGAACUUACACAUGUUCAGAUUAAGAGAUUUGGCUUCAUCAGAGAUUGGAAUUUGGUAGGCUUGUAUCUGUUAUAGGAGUUGUAACUUGUAACAAUCAAAUGAAGUGGGCACUGCUGCGCCAAGCGAGCAAAUUUACUGAUUGGCAAAGGGUUUGGAUCAGGAGACAUCCAAAGAGAUACUUGCAGGCUCUCUGCCUAGAUCAUUUGAUGUUAUUCUUCGUCAGUUAGAUUGUGAAACAUGCUGGGGCGUGACACAUGAUAUUUCUCUUGCCUCCAAGCCCACUUGAACUGAUCAAAUCAUAGUGAACUUUAAGUGUUCACUUGAAAUGAUCAAUCACAAUCUGUCUCCUUGUAGAGUGAUUUUUACAGGCAUUGUAGUUGUUAUACCUGAUAUAUUUACAUUGGCAUCUCCUGGAGAGAGAUCAGAAUGUCGUUGGGAAGCUUCACAAUGCAAGGGCUAUCUCCUAGAAAGGAAGAUGUGAGGGGCCUUAGGGCUUUGGGAUUUAGAGAUCUCUCAUAUCCUCUAGCUUUUAUUGCAAACUCUGUUUAGAUUUUCGAUGGUAGAAGG